rnacentral:rRNA from 1 species
UACGGAGGGGGCUAGCGUUGUUCGGAAUUACUGGGCGUAAAGCGCACGUAGGCGGCUUUGUAAGUUAGAGGUGAAAGCCCGGGGCUCAACUCCGGAAUUGCCUUUAAGACUGCAUCGCUAGAAUUGUGGAGAGGUAAGUGGAAUUCCGAGUGUAGAGGUGAAAUUCGUAGAUAUCUGGAGGAACACCGGUGGCGAAGGCGGCGUUCUGGACUGCAACUGACACUGAGGAACGAAAGCCAGGGGAGCAAACGGG